GGGUGGGCUUGUGCAGAGCCUGGAGUUGGACUCGAUGCACCUUGUGGGUCCCUUCCAACUCAGCAUAUUCUGUGAUUCUGUGAGUUAGCUCCGAGAGGA